UACGUAGGGGGCAAGCGUUGUCCGGAUUUAUUGGGCGUAAAGAGCGUGUAGGCGGCUAGGUAGGUCCGUUGUGAAAACUCGAGGCUCAACCUCGAGACGCCGGUGGAAACCAUCUAGCUAGAGUCCGGAAGAGGAGAGUGGAAUUCCUGGUGUAGCGGUGAAAUUCGUAGAUAUUCGGAAGAACACCAGUGGCGAAGGCGACUCGCUGGACAGGUAUUGACGCUGAGGUGCGAAAGCGUGGGGAGCAAACAGG
rnacentral:rRNA from 1 species